rnacentral:rRNA from 1 species
CAGCAGCCGCGGGAAAACGAGGGGGGCAAGCGUUGUUCGGAAUUAUUGGGCGUAAAGGGUGCGUAGGCGGCCCCGCAAGUCUCAUGUGAAAUCUUCAGGCUCAACUUGAAGUCUGCAUGGGAAACUGCGGGGCUGGAGUAUGGGAGAGGUGAGUGGAAUUCCUGGUGUAGCGGUGAAAUGCGUAGAUAUCAGGAGGAACACCUGUGGCGAAAGCGGCUCACUGGACCAUAACUGACGCUGAGGCACGAAAGCUAGGGGAGCAAACAGGAUUAGAUACCCGCGUAGUCCCUGUCUCUUAUAA